GAAAACCAAAGGCUUAAAAAUACUAAGUAACUGGCUGGGCGCAGUAGCUCGUGCCUGUAAUCCCAGCCCUUUGGGAGGCCAAGGUGGGUGGAUCACCUGAGGUCAGGAGUUCGAGACCAGCCUGGCCAACAUGAUGAAACCCCAUCUCUACUUAAAAAAUAUAAAAAUUAGCUGGGCGUGGUGGUGCACACCUGUAAUCCCAGCUACUCAGGAGGCCGAGGCAGGAGAAUCGCUUGAACCCGGGAUGCGGAGGUUGCAGUGAGCCGAGAUCACGCUAUUGCACUCCAGCCUGGACAAGAGCAAGACUUUGUCUGAAAACAACAAUGACAACAACAACUAAGCUUGCCCAAGAUCUCCUGCUUUCUGGAUUCCCCAGGAUCAACCAUCUGAGCAGAUACCUUGGAAUGUCCCCAGAUUUCAGAGCCUCGGACCAGCAGCAACACACUCUGAAGUAGGUCUCAGAAGACAAAAAGCUGAAAUCAACUCAUGCUUCCUGCUACACAGAAUCCACUGAGAGGAAAAGGAAACUUCACCGAAACUUCAGAAAGCUACAGAAAUGACAUCCAUUUUCACAAUCCCAGAAGGAAAGAUGCAUCUGAAGGGAAUAAAAACAGAGCAAUGGAAGAGUAUUUGUUAAAAUAAAUGGCUUUGACAGGG
rnacentral:lncRNA from 1 species